rnacentral:rRNA from 1 species
AGUACAAGAUACUACGGUAUUAAAGUAGCUGAUGUUAAACUUCCAAGAAAAGCUCGCACUGCCUUUAACAAAAAAUGCCUGUACUAGAAACCGACACAGGUGGGUUGGUAGAGUAUACCAAGGGGCGCGAGAUAACCCUCUCUAAGGAACUCGGCAAAAUAACCUCGUAACUUCGGGAGAAGGGGUACCUUUUUAAGGUUGCAAUAACAAGGUCCAAGCGACUGUUUACCAAAAACACAG